rnacentral:rRNA from 1 species
AACGAAUGCUGGCGGCAUGCCUAAUACAUGGAAGUCGAACGAUACCUUCGGUUCUAGUGGCGCAAGGUGGCUUAACGGUAAGGAACCUGCCCUUAGUGUCGGAAUCACCCCGAGAAAUUUGAGCUAAUCCCGGUAAAUGUCUUCGGACCAAAGAUUUAUCGCCUUAGUAUGUGCCCGCAUAUGAUUAGCUUGUUGGUGGGGUAAUGGCCUACCCAGGCGACGAUCCUUAGCUGGUCUGAGAGGAUGAUCCGCCACGCUGGGACUGAGACCCGGCCCAGACUCCUGCGGGAGGCAGCGGUAGGGAAUAUUGGACACUGGGCGCAAGCCAGAUCCAGCAGUGCCGCGUGAAUGAGGAAGCCCUUAGGGUUGUAAAGCUCUUUUACCAGAGAUGAUCAUUACAGUAACUGGAGUGUAAGCUCCGGGUACCUCCGUG